AUAAAUUGAAGGGCCGCAGUAUUUUAACUGUGCAAAGGUAGCAUAAUAGUUAGGUUUUUAAUUGGAAUCUUGAAUGAAUGGUUUGACAAAAAAAGCGCUGUCUCUGUAAUAAUGCUUGAAUUUAACUUUUAAGUGAAAAGGCUUAAAUAUAUUGAGAAGACGAUAAGACCCUAUAAAGCAUUAUAUUGGGGCGAUAAAGGUAUAAUUAUUAACUGCUUAAAAAUCAAACAUUAAUAAUUGAAUAGAUCCUUAAAUAAAGAUUUUAAGUUUAAGUUACUUUAGGGAUAACAGCGUUAUUUUUUUUGAGAGUACUUAUCGAAAAAAAAGUUUGCGACCUCGAUGUUGAAUUAAGAUUUCUUUUUAAUUGCAGCAGUUAAAAAAGAAGGUCUGUUCGACCUUUAAAUUUCU
rnacentral:rRNA from 1 species